rnacentral:misc_RNA from 1 species
CUCAGCUGCCUUUCAAGAGGGGAUUGUCGAAGCACUACGAAGGGAAGUCACAAUCUUUCACAUGUCUAUCCAAUGUAAGAUCACUCGAAGAUCUCGCUAAACCGAUGAAACAACUAAACAAGAAGAAGCUGAAGCAAUGCAAGAGUUAUGCCUGUGGUCUCGAUGGCCACAAGACAAUCAUGAAGAAAGCCUCGAGGGGCUCCUUCUCCUCGCUCGGCCCGAAGCGAUCGAGCUUUGUUGCGACCAAGCCCUCGGUGCCGCCUCAAAGAUCUGCAAGCCAUACCCUUCUGUUUACUUAAGGAGAAUGAGG